rnacentral:rRNA from 1 species
CCUACGGGUGGCAGCAGUGGGGGAUAUUGGACAAUGGGGGAAACCCUGAUCCAGCGAUGCCGCGUGAGGGAAGAAGGUUUUCGGAUUGUAAACCUCUGUGGAGGGGGACGAUAAUGACGGUACCCCUUUAGGAAGCCACGGCUAACUACGUGCCAGCAGCCGCGGUAAUACGUAGGUGGCGAGCGUUGUCCGGAAUUACUGGGUGUAAAGGGAGUGUAGGCGGGAAAGCAAGUCAGAAGUGAAAACUAUGGGCUUAACCCAUAGCUUGCUUUUGAAACUGUUUUUCUUGAGUGAAGUAGAGGAAGGCGGAAUUCGUGGGGUGGGGGGGAAAUGAGUAGAUAUUAGGAGGAACACCAGUGGGGAAGGCGGCUUGUGGGGCUUUUACGGACGCUGAGGCUCGAAAGCGUGGGGAGCAAACAGGAGUAGAUACCCUAGUAGUC